GNCGGANCUGCCCGGUGAAAAUUUUUAACGGCCGCGGUACUCUGACCGUGCAAAGGUAGCAUAAUCAUUUGCCUUAUAAUUGAAGGCUAGUAUGAAUGGUUUGACAAGAAUAUAGCUGUCUCUUUAUAAUUUGGUGGAAUUUUAUCUUUAGGUGAAAAAGCCUUGAUUGAAUUAAAAGACAAGAAGACCCUAUCGAGCUUUAAAGAAGUUGACGGGCAGAGGCUUUUAUGUUUUAAAAAGUAUGGCUGUCAAAUAUUUUGGUUGGGGCGACUGAGGAACAUGUAAAGCUUCCUUUGUAGAAAUUAUUACAUACAUGUGUUUGAUCCUUAGUUAGGGAUUAAGGGAAUUAGUUACCGUAGGGAUAACAGCAUUAUCCUUUUUGAGAGUUCUAAUCGAAAAAGGGGUUUGUGACCUCGAUGUUGGACCAGAAUGUCCUAAAGAUGCAGAAGUCUUUAAGGGUUGGUCUGUUCGACCAUUAAAAUUCUA
rnacentral:rRNA from 1 species